rnacentral:sRNA from 1 species
UUGACAAUCUUAUCGUGAAGGCAUAAUUUCAGGAGUGAGGGUAGAGCGGGGUUUCCCCCGCCCUGGUAGUCUUAGUAUGCUGGGUAGCUAAUCACUAAGAGCACCACGAUGAUGAGUAGCUUCAUCAUGACCCUUUCCUUAUU